rfam:Desulfosporosinus sp. OL contig00060, whole genome shotgun sequence.
UAGACGGAUAGCAAAGUACCGGAUGCCCAAGCGGCCCAUGAGUUUACCCUGACCGCCUUAUUACCAGCGUUAGCAGGCGCUAACAUGAUAUAUGGUCUGG